AAUGUGGGCAAGAUAUCAAUAUAAAAGAAAAGAGUGUAAGAAAUAAAAAUAAAAGUACAAAACAUUUCAAAUCUUUAACAUCCAUAAUUUAGAGAUAGCAAGGUCUUUAUUUACACCAUUUUAUUUGCAGCUGAAGUUCCAUUAACAGGGUUGUGAAAACAUUUAAAAACCCGGCAAAUGAAUCAUAAAACCUAACGUGGGCUCUUAAAGUCAUAUAAUACAAAACAUAAUUUAUGUUUCCUCAGAAUAAAAUUGCACAUCUUAAUAAGAUGCAGUAUAUUUAAUAUAUUUGUCUUCCUGCUUUAAAAUGCUUGUCCCCGAAGAAAGCAGCUGGAAAACAAGGGCGUCUGAAGGGCCCAGGGGCUGCUCCAUCCGGCUGCUGACACAGCCAGACCCGUGCACCAGGCUCCAGUCACCAGCGCAGGUGCGUCAGUUAAAUUUAUAUGUAAGCUCGCUGAGGAAAACAACUGCCAAACAAACACAAUGCAAACUAGCGACAGCAUCCAAUAGAGGCCGCACGCCAAGGUGGUGAGCUUCGGGCACCCAAGCCCUCGCCAACCCCUGCGUCUCUGAACCAUCCACCCGGGGCUCCAACCGUCCUGGGGCAGAAAGACUCAGGUUCUUUUCAGGCUACAGACGCAAGAAAAGGGGCCCUGAGAUGACACCCACCAGUCACCCAAAGGUAGGAAAAAACCUGGAGAGAUGUAAGAGCACAUACUGUAUAAAAACAAAAUCUCCAAAAAUGUAAGUAAGGGGUCUCUUAUCAUUUUUUUCACCAACUCUGGCAAAAAUUUCCUGAUUUGUAGAGAUACAGAACACACACAGCUCUGAUAUUAACGAUGAGAGGGUUUCUGCACCACACAUCUUUCAAAAGGAUAUGAUUCAUAGUCCAGUGUUUGUGUAAGCACUCCAGUUAGAACAAACUCUGCAUUAUGAACAUCUGAAAGGAAUGAAAACAAAAACUGUUAAAUAAAUGCACUGCUGUGUGUGUACCUACACAUUCUUAAUACAGAGCAAGAGGAAUGAACCAUACCUAUUCCUCUGGCAAAAUAUUCUCGACACAAGUGAAGGUCAUUUUCACAGGAUAUUAAAAUUAUUUCUGACAAACUCUAAUGAAAAGAAAGUUACUGGUUACUAAACAGUGGCUCUUAUACGUGACAAUGACGAAUUCAGUAGUAUAUUUUACUUCUGUCUACCUUAUUUUGCUUAUGUUCCAUGAGUUUCCGGAAAGACGGCUGUUUAGACAGUACUUUCCCUCCUGCACAUUCCACAAUCGCUUUCAUAGUUGAAAGACUCGGGCAGAUUCCAGGAGUGAUGUAAAAAUAUUUCGCCUAAAAAUAAAGUGAAAAUACGUGUAUUAUGUUUUCUAAAUGGAAUUUUUAGUGUACGUAAUUUCUCAUCCUACCCUGAGAUUUUUGACGAAGUGUCUAUUCCAUAGGGAUACACAUACUAGCCCCGGCUAGUCCCCAGUCUGAAGUGGGCCUCGGGGAAUCCAGGCGUGUCAAUUUGGAAGUAACUUCAGCACUUUCAUACGUUAGCUAUGGUAAACAGCGGACCGAAGACCUCCAGAAACACCCCGCCCAAGGAGGACCACCCAUGCAGUGGGGACAGGGGAGGGGGGCGGGGGCCGGCUCCUCGGAGGCCCUCGCUGUUGCCCGCAGCUGUAGCAGCUGUCGCGUCCCGGGGCCUUACCUGACUUCCCUUCCAAGCGUACCUUAAAGAGCGGAGACACGUGUGCCCUCCUCAAGGACUCUUCCAGACUGAAGGAGAAAAGCACCUCAGCCUCGGCGUCUCGGAGAAGGUAGUUCUGCUCAUCUGGAAAAGAGAACAGCACACCGUCCGAAUAGUGCACGGCGCCCGGGCUGCACCAUGCCACCCGCUCCAGGCUGCCCCAGUAAGGGAUCUGGUUCUCUGACCAGGGAUCGCACCUGGGCCCCCUGCAUUGGGAGCACGGAGUCUUAACCACUGGACCACCAGGGAAGUCCCUGAAGUGAUAUAUUUGAAAUUCAGUUCACUGAGGUACGGAUGCUGCUACUCACCAAGGAACUUCUGACACUUGAAACACUCCUCCAGCCACUCCGGAGUCACGAUGUGCUUCACCACGGAGAUGGCUGUCAGGAACUUCACGGUGCGCGUCACCUUGCUGGA